rnacentral:rRNA from 1 species
AGUGAACGCUGGCGGUAGGCCUAACACAUGCAAGUCGAACGGCAGCACAGUAAGAGCUUGCUCUUACGGGUGGCGAGUGGCGGACGGGUGAGGAAUACAUCGGAAUCUACUUUUUCGUGGGGGAUAACGUAGGGAAACUUACGCUAAUACCGCAUACGACCUACGGGUGAAAGCAGGGGAUCUUCGGACCUUGCGCGAUUGAAUGAGCCGAUGUCGGAUUAGCUAGUUGGCGGGGUAAAGGCCCACCAAGGCGACGAUCCGUAGCUGGUCUGAGAGGAUGAUCAGCCACACUGGAACUGAGACACGGUCCAGACUCCUACGGGAGGCAGCAGUGGGGAAUAUUGGACAAUGGGCGCAAGCCUGAUCCAGCCAUACCGCGUGGGUGAAGAAGGCCUUCGGGUUGUAAAGCCCCUUUGUUGGGAAAGAAAAGCAGCAGGUUAAUACCCCGCUGUUCUGACGUUACCCAAAGAAUAAGCACCGGCUAACUUCGUG